GGUUGUGGCUCAAUGGUAGAGUGUUUGCCUAGCAUGCGUGAGGCACUGGGUUCGAUCCCCAGCACCA
rnacentral:tRNA from 1 species